rnacentral:rRNA from 1 species
CCUACGGGCGGCAGCAGUGGGGGAUAUUGCACAAUGGGGGGAACCCUGAUGCAGCGACGCCGCGUGGGUGAAGGAGGGUUUCGGCGCGUAAAGCCCUAUCGGCAGGGAAGAAGAUGAAGGUACCUGACCAAGAAGCCCCGGCUAACUACGGGCCAGCAGCCGCGGGAAUACGUAGGGGGCAAGCGUUAUCCGGAUUUACUGGGUGUAAAGGGGGCGCAGACGGACCUGCACGCCAGGAGGGAAAGCCCGGGGCCCCACCCCGGGACUGCUCUUGGAACUGCAGGGCUGGAGGACAGGAGGGGCAGGCGGAAUUCCUAGUGUAGCGGUGAAAUGCGUAGAUAUUAGGAGGAACACCGGUGGCGAAGGCGGCCUGCUGGACUGUGACUGACGUUGAGGCCCGAAGGCGUGGGGAGCAAACAGGAUUAGAUACCCUUGUAGUC